GACGAACCGUGCAAACGUUAUUCGGAAUCACUGGGCAUAAAGGGCGCGUAGGCGGCUCCAAAAGUCAGGGGUGAAAUCCGGCAGCUUAACUGUCGCAGUGCCUUUGAUACUGUGGAGCUAGAGGGAGGUAGGGGUCUGUGGAACUUCCGGUGGAGCGGUGAAAUGCGUUGAUAUCGGAAGGAACGCCGGUGGCGAAAGCGACGGAUUGGAUCUCUUCUGACGCUGAGGCGCGAAAGCCAGGGGAGCAAACAGG
rnacentral:rRNA from 1 species